CCGUGGUUGCGUAGUUGUGUAAUAUGGUCGGUUUGGGUUAAACAAUACCCAUGGACAUACUAUAUAGUCUCUUCAGCGUUCAGUGAAAUGAGUACAGAAAGAAAAGGAACAAGCUAGCUUAGCCAGAAAACGUGUUUGACGACUACCUUCCACCACGAACACCACCACCAUCUCCACCACCCUCAUCACUACCACCUACUGCUGAUAUUCUGGAUUGUAACAUCUGUGAGGGGCCCGUUGCCAGAUUUUAUAAUGGUUUGGUUAAGCACAUAUCCGGUCAUAAGAACAAGUUUAAGUUUCAGUGUAAGAAGAAAAGGUAUCUUGGUGACCAUCAGAAGCAUUUAUGUACCGACCGUUUUUACACCCGGCGUCUCCGUGAAAUUCAUCUUGAAAAUGUUCCUCACUUAAAGUGAGUCAGUUUGUGUUGAUGUCUAGUUUGUGUUGAUGUCUGCUUGAGGUACAUUUUUUUUUUUGUUUUGAUUUGAUGGUUGAUGGUGUUUUUCUAGUUAAAUGUUGUUAGUAGUUAGGGUUCAAAUGUUCAACUUGAUUGGUGUUUUUCC
rnacentral:lncRNA from 1 species